UAUUCCUUUACCCUUCUUGGUCACAGCAAUGUAGUGGGAGCUGCCAGCUUCACGUGUUUUAAUUUUGUCAUAGCACUUUGAAAAAGUGGUAUGUGGUAUCUGGAAAGCUGAUGUUACGUGUGAAGAUUACAGACAAGAUUUAUCUAAGGAAAUCUGGCUCUUGAAGUUCUGAGAGUUGUGUCUCUUCGGUUUUCGAACAAGCAAUCCCGUCGAGGAUCUGACUCUCGAGAUUCGGAAAGCGGUGCUACUCCGGUUUUUGAGAAAGUAAUUAUGUUAGGAGUCUUUUCUCGAAUGUGAGUAAAGGUUGGACGUUCUUGCCAACCUGUCUUGCCGCAAAACACGGAGGUCGA
rnacentral:lncRNA from 1 species